rnacentral:tRNA from 1 species
UGUUCUGUGGCUUAGUUGGUUGAAGAGCUGGGCUAGCGACAUAGAGUCGUGGGUUCGAAUCCCACCAAAACAA